rnacentral:rRNA from 1 species
GAGGGUCAUUGGAAACUGGGAGACUUGAGUGCAGAAGAGGAGAGUGGAAUUCCAUGUGUAGCGGUGAAAUGCGUAGAUAUAUGGAGGAACACCAGUGGCGAAGGCGGCUCUCUGGUCUGUAACUGACGCUGAGGCUCGAAAGCGUGGGGAGCGAACAGGAUUAGAUACCCUGGUAGUCCACGCCGUAAACGAUGAGUGCUAAGUGUUGGAGGGUUUCCGCCCUUCAGUGCUGCAGCAAACGCAUUAAGCACUCCGCCUGGGGAGUACGACCGCAAGGUUGAAACUCAAAGGAAUUGACGGGGGCCCGCACAAGCGGUGGAGCAUGUGGUUUAAUUCGAAGCAACGCGAAGAACCUUACCAGGUCUUGACAUCCUUUGACCACUCUAGAGAUAGAGCUUCCCCUUCGGGGGCAAAGUGACAGGUGGUGCAUGGUUGUCGUCAGCUCGUGUCGUGAGAUGUUGGGUUAAGUCCCGCAACGAGCGCAACCCUUAUUGUUAGUUGCCAUCAUUUAGUUGGGCACUCUAGCGAGACUGCCGGUGACAAACCGGAGGAAGGUGGGGAUGACGUCAAAUCAUCAUGCCCCUUAUGACCUGGGCUACACACGUGCUACAAUGGGAAGUACAACGAGUUGCGAAGUCGCGAGGCUAAGCUAAUCUCUUAAAGCUUCUCUCAGUUCGGAUUGUAGGCUGCAACUCGCCU